AUGAACGCUGGCGGCGUGCUUAACACAUGCAAGUCGAACGAUUAAAGCCCCCUUCGGGGGGUGUAUAGAGUGGCGAACGGGUGAGUAACACGUGGGCAAUCUGCCCCUCGCACUGGGAUAACUCCGGGAAACCGGAGCUAAUACCGGAUACUCCUUUCAGGUCGCAUGGCCUGAUCGGGAAAGCUCCGGCGGCGAGGGAUGAGCCCGCGGCCCAUUAGCUUGUUGGUGGGGUAAUGGCCCACCAAGGCGACGAUGGGUAGCCGAGCUGAGAGGCUGAUCGGCCACACUGGGACUGAGACACGGCCCAGACUCCUACGGGAGGCAGCAGUGGGGAAUCUUGCGCAAUGGGCGAAAGCCUGACGCAGCAACGCCGCGUGCGGGAUGAAGGCCUUCGGGUUGUAAACCGCUUUCAGCAGGGACGAAGAUGACUGUACCUGCAGAAGAAGCCCCGGCUAAAUACGU
rnacentral:rRNA from 1 species